GGGGAAUAUUGCACAAUGGGGGAAACCCUGAUGCAGCGACGCCGCGUGAAGGAUGAAGUGUUUCGGCAUGUAAACUUCUAUCAGCAGGGAAGAAAAUGACGGUACCUGACUAAGAAGCCCCGGCUAACUACGUGCCAGCAGCCGCGGUAAUACGUAGGGGGCAAGCGUUAUCCGGAUUUACUGGGUGUAAAGGGAGCGUAGACGGUUGUGCAAGUCAGAUGUGAAAGUCCAGGGCUCAACCCUGGGACUGCAUUUGAAACUGUGCAACUAGAGUGUCGGAGAGGUAAGUGGAAUUCCUAGUGUAGCGGUGAAAUGCGUAGAUAUUAGGAGGAACACCAGUGGCGAAGGCGACUUACUGGACGAUAACUGACGUUGAGGCUCGAAAGCGUGGGGAGCAAAC
rnacentral:rRNA from 1 species